UGUACAACUCUGAGCGGUGGAUCACUCGGCUCGUGUGUCGAUGAAGAGCGCAGCCAACUGUGUGAAUUAAUGUGAACUGCAUACUGCUUUGAACAUCGACAUCUUGAACGCACAUUGCGGCCACGGGUUUUCCUGUGGCCACGCCUGUCCGAGGGUCGGCU
rnacentral:rRNA from 1 species